rnacentral:lncRNA from 1 species
AUAAAUAAUACACAUUCACUCACCAUAUUCUCCAUUAAUUAAUCAAAAUCAUACAACUUCUUUUUCAUAUAUUCUCAUCUCUCUCUCUCUCAAAUAAUGGCUUCUCUUGUUCUUCUUGUGUCUGAACUUCUCAAACACCCAAACACGGACUUAGCCUACUCAAUAUCAUUGCCUCUGUCUUCUUGUGGUGCCACUACCUCAACCGGUGCAACUUGCUUUACUGAGAAAAGGGUUGCUAAACAGCCGGCAACAACUCCGGCCGACGGCCGGUGCAACAAGGAAGAUAAUUUUGGGGAGGAUUUAUCCGACUUGAGGGUGUGUGUUGACCUUGUUUGGCCUUGACAAAAAUGUAUAUAUAGUAGAAUUCUUUUUAUUUAAUUUUUUGCAAUUAAUGUUAGUUUUUGUUCUCUUCCAUUUCUCGUCUUUGACACUUAUAAUUAUACUUCAUAUGUACCACAAUUAUCAAUUUUUUAUUAUUCUAAAAAAAAACAAAAACUUUCCCUUCCCCCGAAUCAAAACUCACAAACAGAAACUAAAUUACCAACUGCAUGCUAGAAUUUAGGCCCUUAAAGUUUUUUUAUUUUAUUAAUACCAUUUUAUACUUUAAGGAUAUGUUUCUUCUUAAGGAUUAUACUUUCUUUGAAUAUGAUUAUUAAUUUUAAAUAUUAUUAAUUUUAAGUAUUUUAUUUUUAUAAUAAGAUUUAAAAUUAUUAAUUUAAAAAUUAUAAAAUAACUUAAUAGUAUUAAAAUUAUAAUUUUAAUUCUAGAAUUAUAAUCUUAUAAUUAUCAGUCUUGAGAUUAUAAUAUUUGUAAAUAAAUAUAAUCUAAGGAUCAAAAUAAUUUGCAUACUUGGCAUUUAAACAAUUUGCAUCUUCAUCUUUGUAAAACAUACAUUUUGACAAGUCAAAUUAUUUUUCUAAACUUAUAGCAUGAAUUAAAAUGACAUAUAUAUAUAUAUACACGAUUCGAAUUUUAAGUUCAUCUUUUAUUCAACUCACCCGAUCUCACCUCUUUUUAGCGACGGAUCCGACGAUAGUUCAAUCAUAUAACUGUUGUCUAUACUUUUAGCGACGCUAUAUGUUGCCCGUCGCUAAAAAUAUAGACGACGAUUGUAUUACUGAACCAUCGUCGAGUCCGUCGCUAAAGGAGGAUGAAUUCGAGUGAGUUGGAUAAGGGUGAGCUUAAAAUCCGGACUCAUAUAUAUAUAUAUAUAUAUAUAUAUAUAUAUAUANNNNNNNNNNNNNNNNNNNNNNNNNNNNNNNNNNNNNNNNNNNNNNNNNNNNNNNNNNNNNNNNNNNNNNNNNNNNNNNNNNNNNNNNNNNNNNNNNNNNAGUUUUAUGAAAAUGGCUUUCAUCCACACUGUAAAAUCUCUGUAAUUGAGAAAGGGUUUGAUUAUGAGAUAUAUAUAUAUAUAUAUAUAUAUAUAGGUUUAACACUUUAUUUUACUUACCAUACUCACUCUCUUUAACUACAGACCGGACGAACUACAGACCGGACGACGAUUCGGUUCGUCGCUAUAUCAGAGAACAGUCGUCUUAGCUUUUAGCAACAGACAACCUAUAACGACGGACUGAACCUAUAGCGACGGACCGAAUCGUUGUCUAGUCCGUCGCUAAAAGGGUUGAUCAAGUGGUAAGCUCUUGAUCUUUUUCGUAUAUAUAUAAAGCGACGAUUCGGUUCAUCUCUAGUUGUUGGCCGUCACUAUAUGUUGUCCGUCGCUAAAAAUUAAGACUACGGUUAUCUGAUAAAGCAACGAAUUAUCAAAUCGAACCAUCAACUAGUCCGUCACUAAAUAUGAUAAGUAUAGUAUGUAAAAUAAAGAGGUAAACCCCUUGAAAUGGACUGUAUAUAUAUACUCCAUAUAUAUUUCAUGACAACUAUGGAAUCAAUUUUUCAUGGUUGAGGUGCAUAAACUGGAUUUUUUGCCGGAAUCCAUGGAGUGCUUACGUGGGUCUCCUUACGAUGCAUUCAAUCUGUGUCGGGGUGACUUUUGUCGUUAUUUGUUGUGGGUUUCAGCCUUCUCUAUUAAUUGAUUUGCUUUGUUUUGUUCUUUGUUACGAUCAAUUUUGGUGUUUCAAUCGCCGAAAUCUGAGAAAGAAAAAAGAGUUUAAGGAUAAUAUCGUAAAAUAUUGUUAUUAAGACAUUUUGAAAAAAUUAAUUAUCAAACAAUAUUUUUUUAUUCAAAUACAAUUAUAUUCAGAUAUUCUACAUUAUUCAAAUAUCUAAACUGUUCGAAUUUUAAUAUUUAAUUUUAUCAAACACUGCCUAAGUGGGCCUAUUUCUCGUCAAGAGUUUUCAUUGGGCCCUUAAGAUGUUUAACCGGGAUGUUCAGCCUCACUACAAAUCUGCUAAAGCUUAUCUCAGGGACCCCUAGACAUCUGGGCUUAAAAUACUAGUUUAAAAAUAAUAUUUUGCAACAGACGCAGACCAAAUCCGUUGCUAGUAAAAAUUAAAUUGUCUGAUUACAUUUGCGACGGACGAUCCAUUGAUAUGAAAAAGAAGAAUCAAUUCUACGUUUGAAUCGAAGAAAUAUAAUGAUUCAUUUCAUUCUAGUUGGAAUGAGUUAUUUGAUACUUUUCCAACCUCAAAUAAUAAAAUUCAUAAAUUUUGGAAAAAUAAGAAUGAUUCAAUCUAUUCUAAUCGCAACUAAACAUAAUUUUUUUCAUUCCACCAGAAUGAGUGAUUCCAUUCCUACCUUCGUUACUUCAAUUCAAAUGUAAGAGUUGGUCCAACUGAUUCAAAAAUUCAAUUUUGAUUCAUGCAAUUGUUUACCAAAACAAAACAUAUUAAAUUUCAAUCGUCAAAUUAAGUUUACAUCAUAAUUCAAAUAAAACUCUUUUUCGUGGAAUGACGGAAUACAGUUUUUAUUUCUUUAGUAUUAAAUCUCGAUUAAGUAAAAUUAUGUUUAUAGAAUUAAUUGGAUGGAUCGUAGAAGCGUGAUGUAUGCCGGGCCGGCUGAUCAUGUAGUUUCGAAGAAAUCCAGGAUUUUUAAUUAUGCAUGACUUUUGUUAUUUAGGCACAUGAUAUUAUUAUUGCCGUCUCAAAGAAAUUAUUAUCAUAUUCUUCGCCCCAAUCUUCGAAGUUCUUAAACCCCAAAGCUUUAAUCUUGGGCUCAACUCCCGAUUGACCAUUACUACAUUAAUCGAUGUGUCCCAAAUUAAUUACUCAAUUUUAAUUUUUAAGUUAAAUUCAUUAUUUUUAAAAUUAAUUUUUUUAUUAUUUUUGCUAAAAUAUAGGUGAAGAGAUUAUAACCAAAAGAAAGUAUAUACAAUUUAUUACUAAUCCUAAUUUUUAUAAUUUUAGAAAUAUAUUUAUAUAUGCUUAAUUAUUAAUUCUA